rnacentral:rRNA from 1 species
CCUACGGGAGGCAGCAGUAGGGAAUAUUGCGCAAUGGGGGAAACCCUGACGCAGCGAUGCCGCGUGAGUGAAGAAGGCCUUAGGGUUGUAAAACUCUUUCAGUGGUGAAGAUAAUGACGGUAACCACAGAAGAAGCUCCGGCUAACUCCGUGCCAGCAGCCGCGGUAAUACGGAGGGGGCUAACGUUGUUCGGAAUUACUGGGCGUAAAGCGCGCGUAGGCGGAUUAGACAGUUGGGGGUGAAAUCCCGGAGCUUAACUUCGGAACUGCCUUCAAUACUACUAAUCUAGAGUUCGGAAGAGGUGAGUGGAAUUCCUAGUGUAGAGGUGAAAUUCGUAGAUAUUAGGAAGAACAUCAGAGGCGAAGGCGGCUCACUGGUCCGAUACUGACGCUAAGGUGCGAAAGCGUGGGGAGCAAACAGGAUUAGAUACCCUGGUAGUCCACGCCGUAAACGAUGGAAGCUAGUUGUUGGACGGUUUAACUGUUCAGUGACACAGCUAACGCAUUAAGCUUCCCGCCUGGGGAGUACGGUCGCAAGAUUAAAACUCAAAUGAAUUGACGG